rnacentral:pre_miRNA from 1 species
AGUGAAAUUGCUAGGUCAUUGAUAACUGUUUAACUAUUUGAUGAAUUACCAGACUCUUUUCCAAUAACGGCUAUGUCAUUUUGCCCUCCCUCCAGCAAU